GUUGGGUGUGGUGAUGCAUGCCUGUAAUCCCAGCUGCUUGGGAGGCUGAGGCAGGAGGAUCUUGAGUUCAAAGCCAGCCUCAGCAAAAGUGAGACCCUCAGCAACUCAGCAAGACCCUGUCUCUA
rnacentral:sRNA from 1 species